rnacentral:rRNA from 1 species
AGAUCGAACUGUAGAGUUUGAUCCUGGCUCAGAUUGAACGCUGGCGGCAUGCCUUACACAUGCAAGUCGAACGGUAACAGGUCUUCGGAUGCUGACGAGUGGCGAACGGGUGAGUAAUACAUCGGAACGUGCCCGAUCGUGGGGGAUAACGAGGCGAAAGCUUUGCUAAUACCGCAUACGAUCUACGGAUGAAAGCGGGGGAUCUUCGGACCUCGCGCGGACGGAGCGGCCGAUGGCAGAUUAGGUAGUUGGUGGGAUAAAGCUUACCAAGCCGACGAUCUGUAGCUGGUCUGAGAGGAUGAUCAGCCACACUGGGACUGAGACACGGCCCAGACUCCUACGGGAGGCAGCAGUGGGGAAUUUUGGACAAUGGGCGAAAGCCUGAUCCAGCCAUGCCGCGUGCAGGAUGAAGGCCUUCGGGUUGUAAACUGCUUUUGUACGGAACGAAAAGCCUCUUUCUAAUAAAGAGGGGUCAUGACGGUACCGUAAGAAUAAGCACCGGCUAACUACGUGCCAGCAG